rnacentral:lncRNA from 1 species
GUAGGCGUAGAUGGCCACUUUCUGGUAUAGACUACGUCAAAGUGCUCUCCCUCGAGAGAGAACUAUUUUGUGCUAUUCUUUGCAUGGCUGAGUCGAUUCAUGUGGCACUACAAUGAGAUGACCUGAGCAAGUAGGGUAUAUGAUACUUGCCGCUAGGUACAUAACCUAGUUGACCUUCUUAUGUCAUUGAUGAUAUGGUACUCCCAAUCAAAGGUAAGAAUGAUUUUCUUAUAUUUAGGCGUAAGGAGCCGAAAGCGA